GGCUCGGUGGCGCAUGGAACGCUUCUGCUGUCAAUGUUGAUGGCUUGCAUAAAUAUUGAAUGCAGAAAGACCCCGUUCAAAUCGGGGCCGAGCCA